rnacentral:rRNA from 1 species
CGGGGUGCACCAGGCGCGAAAACUUUACAAUGCUGGCAACAGCGAUAAGGGGACCUCGAGUGCCAGGAUACAAUCUUGGCUGUCGUGAUGCCUAAAAAGCAUUGCAUAGCAAGGGCCGGGCAAGACCGGUGCCAGCCGCCGCGGUAACACCGGCGGCUCGAGUGGUAACCGCUAUUAUUGGGUCUAAAGGGUCUGUAGCCGGCCGGAUAAGUCUCUUGGGAAAUCCGACAGCUCAACUGUCGGGCUUUCAGGGGAUACUGUUCGGCUCGAGGCCGGGAGAGGUGAGAGGUACUUCAGGGGUAGGGGUGAAAUCUUGUAAUCCUUGAAGGACCACCAGUGGCGAAGGCGUCUCACCAGAACGGUCCUGACGGCAAGGGACGAAAGCUAGGGGCACGAACCGGAUUAGAUACCCGGGUAGUCCUAGCCGUAAACGAUACUCGCUAGGUGUCGGCCACGGUGCGACCGUGGUCGGUGCCGUAGGGAAGCCGUGAAGCGAGCCCCCUGGGAAGUACGGCCGCAAGGCUGAAACUUAAAGGAAUUGGCGGGGGAGCAC